CUUUUACAUAGCUGUUUGUGAUGCUAAAGCUGGGAUUCCCAAAACUGUCUUGCCCUUUUGUCCGCUCUCCUUCUGUCAGGCUCAGCCGAAGGAGGGCGCUAGAGCGAGGCCGCAAGGCUGGAGGAGGGUGAAGGGACUGCUCUUCUGUUUCCUGCUCCCUUCCUGUUUUCUUAUGGUUUCUGCGAGUGUCACCCCAGCAGCCCUUUCUCAUCCAGCGCUAGUAAUUCCCUCUGCAGAAGGCGCUGAAGCCAGUCUGCCGUUUUUCCAAUAAUUGCAAAACCAGCCUCACGGGCCCCCAUCAUGGUCACCAGCAGCGGACCAGUGUGUGCCUCUCCGUCACCAGAGUUUUGGGUCCCUGCACAGUGGGACCCUUCUCUAAGUUUCUAAAUUUUAAUAAUUCCAGACACUUCUCUUUCUUCCCCUCUGACGUAAGGAUGACGGUGCUUCCUGUAGCUGUAGCCGUUAUGACCUUAGAAUUCUUUUCACCUUUUCAAUCUCCUAGUUAAAAAUUUUAUGCAUGGUUAACCAUUCUUGUAUUGAAUUCUCUGUUUUUAAAAAGCCUCAGCUAAGGCAUUAAUCCUGCUUAGACCUGGGUCAGGUCCUUAAGUCAGCUCACUGAGGGUUUUCUUCAAGGAUAGUUGUGAAGAUUUGUUGACCUAAUGCAAGUAAAACAUUUCGAAAAGUGCCUGGUACAUGAACCUCUGAUACUCAAUGAGUUGGCAAAUCCCUGAGACACAGAAUCUUAGAGUUGAACUGUAACCUGGAUGAUAAGUGGUUCAGACUCUCCUAUACGUAUUCAGACAGGAAAUUCUCCAGAGGGCAGAAGGGAAAUUCAUUUCAUUACUACAGCAUGAUAGAAAUAUUUCUUAAAGAACAUCAAAUUCCCUUUGUUCCAAUUCAGUGCUCUCCAGGAAAAUAAAAGAUGAAAAGCAAGAAAGGGAACUGCUCAAGAUCAAGAAGCUGGAGCAAAUCGGGAGGAGUGAAAGGAAGUCGCCCCCCCGACAGUUCUGGAGCAUGCCAAGGGAGCUAUGGCUAGACGUGGGUAUGGAAAAAGGAGGCGCUCAAUAUCGCAGGCAGAUGAUUAAUAAAUGAAGUAAAAUUAAGAAAAGAUCAAGAGAAAUUAUUGCUUUAGAAAUCAGAAAAUGAAAAAAUGUAACUAAAAACUCUAUGACAAUAAACUUUCAGAGUUGCUUGUUUCACACAAUUCUCAUACUUUUGGUAGAAUUAUUGGUCUUCCAUGAGGAAAGGUCAGAAUUUGAGGAACAGGAAACUUUGCCUCAAUUAGUGCUGGCUUUCAUUC
rnacentral:lncRNA from 1 species